rnacentral:tRNA from 1 species
AUUUAUAUAGUUUAAUAAAAACUUUACAUUUUCAUUGUAAAAAUAAAAAUAUACUUUUUUAUAAAUU